CUUUGGAGUGAGUCCAAACGAAGAGUGAAGUUGUUGAAUUUGAAAGUUAGGUAUGAAAGUGCGUUAGAUUUAAAAGCUUCACUUUAUAGAAAACAACCAUAUAUAAUAAUAAUGUCUCAUCCUUCCUUGCUUCAUCGUCCAAACCUAAAUCAAAAGGACUUGAAAAUCACGGUCUCUCACAAGUUCAUAUACUUCAUAUCGCCCAGGCCAAAUUAAUCAUUUCAUGUCUGUGAGAACUUGGAUGUUGAUGUCAUUGGUGAGGCUUGUAACUUCGAUGGUUCUUGAGCCUGCCUCGUCCAUCUGCACUAUACUCUAUUACGGUCGUCUUCUUCCUCAAAACCUCACCCUUCUCCGAAUGGUUCGUCACGAGAUGCUUGAUCAAGAAAAUUUCCUCUUCAACUUCAUCAUUGCCUUCAUGACUUGUUUUUGUUAAUUUGUUUUGGAGUAGUUGAACUUUUGGUCCUUCAAAUUUGUUUAUUGUUCUUUUAACUCUAAUUUUUAUCACAAUUUUGUCUCUUAAA